rnacentral:rRNA from 1 species
AAGACCCUGCGCUCUUGGAGCGGCCGAUGUCUGAUUAGCUAGUUGGUGAGGUAAAGGCUUACCAAGGCGACGAUCAGUAGCUGGUCUGAGAGGACGACCAGCCACACUGGGACUGAGACACGGCCCAGACUCCUACGGGAGGCAGCAGUGGGGAAUUUUGGACAAUGGGGGAAACCCUGAUCCAGCCAUGCCGCGUGAGUGAAGAAGGCCUUCGGGUUGUAAAGCUCUUUCAGCCGGAACGAAACGGUCACGGUUAAUACCUGUGACUACUGACGGUACCGGAAGAAGAAGCACCGGCUAACUACGUGCCAGCAGCCGCGGUAAUACGUAGGGUGCAAGCGUUAAUCGGAAUUACUGGGCGUAAAGCGUGCGCAGGCGGUUUUGUAAGUCAGAUGUGAAAUCCCCGGGCUUAACCUGGGAACU